UCUAAAAACUCGUACAUUCUUUCCAGAUAAUAAUUGAUAAUUCAUUUUUUUUCCCACAGCCUCUCUGAGACAAACAAUUCUCUCAUAUCCACUUUGCGAUGAAACUGAGAUUUGGAAAAUUUGUCAUUCACAUAUUGCUGUGAUGAUGGUGAUGGGGCAACAUGAAGAAUACUUCUAGUGUGGUCUUUUGUAGAUAAAAGAAAUAUGUACAUAUAGUUCUCUCUGUUACUUACCAGGAACUGGUGCAAUAGGAUUAUGAUGGUUCUGUCUUUACAGAUGAGAAAAUAGAUGCUUCACCCAUUCAUUCGUCCAUUCACUAAAUGCAUAGUGAGACCUUAUUACUGCAAGGGACUGUCCAAAUUGCUGAGAAUACUGCUGCUGACAAAAGGGGAAAAAAUGCCCGCCCUUGGGGAGAUUCUGUGUUGGUUACUGGGUGUAUUAGUCUUCUCAGGCUGCCAUAACAAGAUUACUUGGAAUUACUAACUAGUUCAUGAACUUUGACAAAGAGCACACAACAAACACUGGAGCUAGAGUUGCCAAAAAAAGGUUAAUUGGCAUUUUAGCUUUGGGCUUUGGUGGUAAGUAUUGUUCAGUUUUCCUGAGAAGAAGGUUUGAGCAGUUGUUCUGGUCCACAGGCACAAUGGUUCAGCAAUUUUAGUUGGAUUUCUCAUCUGAGUAAUCUGUUAUCUGGUAGACCUAAGAAAAGCAUUAAGAAAAUAAUUAUUUUUAAAAGGCAAGUGUCAUUUUAUAAGUUAAGAGGUAUCAUUUAUGUGUACAGACUCAGAAGAAUUAUAACACGUGAUUCUUAUUCACUGAAGUCUUAUUGUCUACUUAGUUCAUAUAUCUAAGAAAAGAAAGAAAAGACAGAAAAGAAUGAGGGCAAUAUAGCAUCCUAUGUCACAAAGAUAAAUAUCUGGAGAUAUAUAAGAUAUGGUAAAUUCUUUCAAACAGCUAUCAAAACUUCCAUUAGAAAUUUUAUUUGAAAUGUAGAUAAACAAUAAAAAUCUGUGGAAUGAAUGGAUAAAUGCUAAAGCCCCUCUUUACUUUAUGUUCGGUCUGAAGCUAGGGGUAGGAUUCACCCAGAAAAUACAGUUGCUCUUGCAAAGAGAUUUGGUUUCUUCCUUACAGGUUUCCUGACUGACUGACACCUUCCACAUGCUUGUGAACUAUGACUUGAUCACAGCACAGAAAUAACUCUUCCAAUGCAAUUAAAUUUUAAAAUAAUUUAAUAACUCAAGGACGACAUCUAAAGAAAUGAAAUUGAUUUGCUUAGUUCUUCUAAACCUCAGGCAGCAAUUGAAUUAUCACCAAGUUCCUUACCAAUAAGAACAAAGAAUGGCUUUGAAUUGUCAAGCAUUUUGCAGAUACAUGAAACCUUGCUCCCCAAAGCUCUAUUCAUUGCUUACCAUGUUGGGAUGGAGGAAGAUUUUAUUGAGCUUGCCUAUGAUCACAAUGGUACACAAUGCUUGCUGAGCCCACUCCAAAUCCUGAGUGGUAUCAUUGUAGGUACAGCUGCCUGUAAUAGUAGAGCUAAGUUUAUGAAUAACUCAGGUAAAUAGCACCAGGCAGUACCAUGUAUUAUUAUUUACUGUUUGAGUAUGCUGAGGUCUCAAUUACUAUAUAAAUCAUGUGAAACAAAUUAAUCUUGUGCUCAUCUGGGGAAAGUCUCAUGUACACUAUGGGAGGCUAGAAAUGUGCUGAAUGAAUCAUUUAUAUUCUGUUUACAUUUUAUUCUUUUUUUAAAUAAAACUUUUAGGUUCAGGAAUACAUAUGCGGGUUAGUUAUAUAAGUAAAUUCGUGUCAUGGGGGUUUGUUGUACAGGUUAUUUCAUGACCCAGAUACUAAGCCUACUACCCAAUAGUAUUUUUUCUGAUCCUCUCCCUCCUUUCACCCUCUACCCUUAGGUAGGCCCCAAUGUCUAUUGUUCACUUCUUUGUGUCCAUGAGUUACCAUCAUUAGGCUCCCACUGAUAAGUGAGAACAUAUAGUAUUUUGUUUUCUGUUCCUGUGUCAGUUUGCUAAGGAUAAUGGCCUCCAGCUCCAUCCAUGUUCCUGCAAAAGACAUGAUCUCAUUCUUUUUAAUGGCUGCACAGUAUUCCAUGGUGUAUAUGUACUGCAUUUUCUUUAUCCAGUGAUAUGGUUUGGCUCUGUGCCGCCACCCAAAUCUCAUCUUCUAGCUCCCAUAAUUCCCAUGUGUUGUGGGAGGGACCCAGUGGCAGAUGAUUGAAUUAUGGGGGUGGGUCUUUCUCAUGCUGUUCUUGUGAUAGUGAAUGGGUCUCAGGAGAUCUGAUGGUUUUAAAAAAUGGGAGUUGGCUGGCACAGUGGCUCAGGCCUGUAAUCCCGGCACAUUGGGAGGCCGAGGCAGGCGGAUCAUGAGGUCAGGAGUUUGAGACCAGCCUGACCAAGAUGGUGAAACGCCAUCCCUACUACAAAUAAAAAAAAAUUAGCUGGGUGUGGUAGUGCACGCCUGUAAUCCCAGCUACUCAGGAGGCUGAGGCAGGAGAAUCACUAGAACCUGGAAGGCAGAGGUUGCAGUGGGCCGAGAUCGUGCCACGACACUCCAACCUGGGCGACAGAGCGAGAUUCUGUUUCUCCCCACGCCCUAAAAAAAAAAAAAAAAAGAAAAGGGAGUUGCCUUGUGCAAGAUCUCUUUUUGCCUGCUGCCAUCCACGUAAGAUGUGACUUGCCUUCUGCCAUGUCUGUGAGGCCUCCCCCAGCCAUGUGGAACUGUAAGUCCAAUAAACCUCUUUUUUUUUUUUUUUUUUUUUAAAUUGUCUAGUUUUGGGUAUGUCUUUACCAGCAAUGUGAAAACAAACUAAUACAUUCAGUCUACUAUUGAUGGUCAUUUAGGUUGAUCCCAUGUCUUUCUUAUUGUGAGGAGUGCUGCAACAAACAUAUGUGUGCACGUGUCUUUACAGUAGAAUGAUUUAUAUUCCUUUGGGUAUAUACCCAAUAAUGGGAUUGCUGGGUCAAAUUGUAGUUCUGUUUUCAGCUUUUUGAGGAAUUGCCACACUGCUUUCCACAGUAGUUGAACCAAUUGACAUUCCCACGAACAGUACAUAUGCAUUUCCAUUUCUGUGCAACCUCCUCAGCAUCUGUUAUUUUUUGACUUUUUAAUAAUUGCCAUCUUGACAAUUAUUACACAAUGAGAUACCAUCACAAUGAGAUGGUAUCUUAUUGUGGUUUUGUUUUGCAUUUCUCAAACGAUCGGUAAUGUUGAGCUUUUUUUCAUAUGCUUGUUGGCAACAUGUAUGUUUUCAUUUAAAAAUUGUCUGUUCAUGUCCUUUGCCCACAUUUUUUUUUUAAAGUUUGAGUUCUGGGGUACAUGUGCAGGAUGUGCAGAUUUGUUACACAGGUAAACGUGUCACGGUGGUUUGCUGCACCUCUCAACCCAUCACCUAGGUAUUAAGCCCAGUAUGCAUUAGCUAUUUUUCCUAAUGCUCUUCCUCCCCCAAUCCCCUCGCUUGACAGGCCCCCAGUGUGUGUUGUUCCUCGCCCU
rnacentral:lncRNA from 1 species